GUUAAUUUUGAUUGCUGAUUUGAAUUGGGAUUGAUCGGAAGCUUAAUGGGUGUGAUUUAAGUUCAUUCAGUAUUGGAAGUUUUUUUCUGGGUAAUUGUUCUUGAUCUAAGUUAUGGCAUCAAUGGUUGCAAAGGCAUGUGCUACAACGUCGGCUCAAUAUUCACCGGCUUUGACAGUCUUGGAAAAAGGGAGUAGGAAUAAGAGGAAAUUCAGGGCGGAUCCACCUCUAGCCGAUCCAAAUAAACUAAUUUCUUCUCCUCAGUUUGAGUGCACGAGUUUUGAAUUUUCAGCGGACAAAUUUGGAAUGAUCCCUUGUCAUGAGUUUUCGAAUGGCUGUGAUAUGUGUAGCUUGAAGCAAGACGGCUCAGAAAGCUUGAAACUAGACCUCGGAUUGUCUUGCAGCGUAGGAUCAUCUGAAGUAGGUCCGAGCGAGCCUAGAGAGGAGGAAGUUGAAACAACUGAAGAGUUCCAUGAUGCUGAUUGGAGUGAUCUUACAGAGUCCGAGCUAGAAGAGCUUGUCUUGAGCAACUUGGAUACAAUUUUCAGGAGUGCAAUUAAAAGAAUAAUGGCCUUUGGUUACAAUGAAGAGAUUGCCACAAAGGCUGUUUUAAUAAUUUGCUAUGGUUGUAAGGACAUUGUAUCAAACAUAGUGGAGAAUACAUUGGGUUUUCUUCGUAGCGGCCAAGAGAUUGACUUGUGCAGGGAGCAUUAUUUUGAGGAUUUGCAGCAGAUGGAAAAGUAUGUGUUGGCUGAAUUGGUCUGUGUUCUGCGGGAAGUUAGGCCUUUCUUUAGCACUGGUGAUGCAAUGUGGUGCUUGUUAAUAUGUGACAUGAAUGUAUCCCAUGCUUGUGCGAUGGAAAGUGAUCCUUUGAGUAGUUUGGUUGCUGAUGGGAAUGAAAAUAACUCUGCUUCUGUGCAGCCUUAUUUGCAAUCCGAGGCCAAAAGUUCCGAAUCCAACAAUAGAAUUCCAUGUAAGCCAAAUCCUUCAGUUGCUUGUGCACAUUGUUCGUCUGAGACUUCCAGUGUCGCUUCUGUAACUUGUGGGCAUAGCUUUCAGUUGGAGGCGUCCGCUAUGACAGGAGUUCAUGAUGUCAAACCCAAAUCUUCAUUUGCUCUGAGUGGAAUGAUCUCAGAGAAAGAUUCUUCAAGUUCUCUGUUUGACACUGUUGAUAAAACAUUUACGGCAGUUGGAACACCCAAUCCUCCAACCGUCGACGAGGAGUUUGUUGGUAGUCGAAAGUUGUCUGGGAUCACCAAAAGAGAGUACAUACUUAGGCAGAAGUCCCUACAUCUUGAGAAACAAUAGCGUACUUAUGGUUCUAAAGGAGUCUCUAGGAAACUCAAUGGUUUUGGUGGUUUAGUUUUAGAUAAUAAACUUAAGUCCAUGGCAGAUUCUACCGGCAUGAAUAUAAAGAAUGCUUCAUCAAAGAUCAAUAAGACCAGUUUUGCUGUGACUCAAGAUAAUAUACACCAUAGUAUCUCAACAAAUAAUGGAUUUUCUUCUACAUCAGUAUUUGGAUGCGAUAAUGUCAAUGUUUCUGUUCCAUUACCUAAUGCAAAUAUCCCUUCUUCAUUACCGCAAGUGAAUACUUCACUUGCAUUGCCCGCUGCUGAUACUGAGCUCUCGCUCUCACCUACCAACUGCAGCAUCACCCCGAUGCCUCUUCGUUAUAAUGCUGAGGGCGCUGUUUGUUCUCUUAAUAUGAUUCCAAAUGAAAAAUCUGUUGCUCAAUGGGUUCCUCAAGACAAGAAAGAUGAAAUGAUUUUAAAGUUAGUUCCAAGGGUUCGGGAAUUGGAAGGUCAGCUCCAAGAGUGGACAGAAUGGGCCAAUCAAAAGGUUAUGCAAGCCGCUCGUAGACUGAGUAAAGACAAAGCUGAGCUUAAGACACUUCGGCAAGAAAAAGAGGAAGUGGAGAGGCUUAAGAAAGAGAAGCAGAGUUUGGAAGAAAAUACCAUGAAAAAGCUGGCCGAGAUGGAGAAUGCCUUGUGUAAGGCUAGCGGACAAGUCGAACGAGCUAAUGGUGCUGUUCGUAGGCUUGAAAUUGAGAAUGCUGUACUAAGGAGGGAAAUGGAAGCUGCCAAAUUGCGUGCAGCAGAGUCAGCUGCGAGCUGUCAGGAAAUAUCAAAGAGGGAAAAGAAGACGCUUAUGAAGUUCCAGUCAUGGGAGAAGCAGAAAGCUAUAUUUCAGGAUGAACUUAUAGCUGAAAGACGAAAGCUGGUGGAACUGCAACAACGGCUGGAGCAAGCUAGAGAUGUUCAAAACCAGCUCGAGGGUAGAUGGAAGCAGGAAGAAAAGGCCAAUGAAGACUUACUUAGGCAGGCUAGUUCAGUAAGGAAAGAGAGAGAACAGAUAGAAACUUCAGCCAAAUCCAAGGAGGAUAUGACCAAAUUAAAAGCUGAAAGUAGUUUACAGAAGUUUAAAGAUGAUAUUGAAAAGCUAGAAAAGGAAAUAUCCCAGCUCAGACUGAAGACCGAUUCUUCAAAGAUAGCAGCUCUUAAAAGAGGCAUAGAUGGAAGCUAUGCUAGCAAACUGGCAGACUUGAGAAAUGCUUCAUUACAAAAGGACACUCAAAUGCCUUAUAUCUCCUCAAUGGUGACAGAUCUUGAGGAAUACUCUCGGGAUGGAGGGGUGAAACGAGAACGUGAGUGUGUGAUGUGCUUGUCGGAGGAGAUGUCUGUGGUUUUUCUACCAUGUGCUCAUCAGGUGUUAUGCACGACAUGCAAUGAGCUCCAUGAGAAGCAGGGAAUGAAAGAAUGUCCUUCUUGUAGGAGCCUGAUCCAGCAGCGGAUUUCUGUGCGUUAUGCUCGUACUUAAACGUCACUUCAGGGAAUGAGUUAAAGCUAUCAAAAUAAUGAUUCAGGAAACUUCAUAAUGAAUAAUGCAUUUGUGUGGCCCCUUUCGGAAGUCUGGACAAUAUGUGACUGUUUUCAAGAAUGAAAAAGUAACAUAAAAAAGAAAAGCAAAAAACAAAAAGAGAAAAGAGUGUUUAAGUGUGGCCUUUGUAAAUCAUCUAUUCCCUUUCAAAUAAAACUUGAGUUUUUCUCCUUGUUUUCUUUA